GUGGGGAAUAUUGGACAAUGGGCGAAAGCCUGAUCCAGCAAUGCCGCGUGUGUGAAGAAGGUCUUCGGAUUGUAAAGCACUUUCGACGGGGACGAUGAUGACGGUACCCGUAGAAGAAGCCCCGGCUAACUUCGUGCCAGCAGCCGCGGUAAUACGAAGGGGGCUAGCGUUGCUCGGAAUGACUGGGCGUAAAGGGCGCGUAGGCGGAUCACGCAGUCAGAUGUGAAAUUCCUGGGCUUAACCUGGGGGCUGCAUUUGAGACGCGUGGUCUAGAGUGUGAAAGAGGGUCGUGGAAUUCCCAGUGUAGAGGUGAAAUUCGUAGAUAUUGGGAAGAACACCGGUGGCGAAGGCGGCGACCUGGUUCACAACUGACGCUGAGGCGCGAAAGCGUGGGGAGCAAACAGG
rnacentral:rRNA from 1 species